UUCUUCUUAUCGUCAAAAAACUUUCUUCUUCUUCUUAAUGCUUUCAAUCUCUGCCGCAGCCUCCACCACCGUCAUGUUAGCAUUCUACGGCUCCUCCGCUUUUGUGUUAUCCGAUGUCAAUCUUUACUGUAGCCUUCGCCACCGAUCUACCGGAUUUCUUCAAGAUUCUAAAACUUGUGAUUUUCAAUUUCUUAGAUGUUAUGUUUUUUAGCGUAUUUUUUCAUGUUUUUUUUUCCUUAUUUUUUC
rnacentral:lncRNA from 1 species